AUGCCGGACGGGAUAAACAGCACGGUCAUUGUUUUGAUCCCCAAGAUUGACUCGCCGUCCCGACUCACUGAUUUUCGGCCUAUCAGUCUCUAUAAUGUCAUAUAUAAGGUGAUAGCCAAAUGCCUGGUCAAUAGGUUGAGGCCUAUUUUGGAUGAGUUGGUGUCCCCAGAGCAGAGCGCCUUUGUACCGGGCAGA
rnacentral:rRNA from 1 species